UUGUACCUUGGUGUUUGCGGAUACAUUUCCAGUUCUCUUCUGGCUUGUACUGGCAAUGGGUGGGGGUGGAGAGGAUGGACAGAAAGAUGUACCCUCCCACCCCCGGCUAGAGCAAGGGUGCACCCUGCUCCAGGAGGGCUCCAGUCAGUCCUCACUGCCAGGUCUUCAUGGCUCCUAUGGCUCCUAGGCCUGCUGGGAGCAUGCCCUACACAUAGCAGUUUAGCCUAUGUCUACCUCAGGACGUCUGAGAUGUGGAUUAGAGAGAGACCCAGAUUCUACUGCAGAACCCACCCCGACCUCGAAACCUACGGCUGUUUUCCCACAGAGCUCCAAGUUUGCACAAAGAACAACUCUUCUCAAAGACCAGGAAGAGCUGAGACUCCCUUCUGGAAAUCAGAGGCCAAAUGGGAAGGCAUUUCUGCCUCAAGGGUCUCCUUGUAUCGGCGUCCACAGGGACAGCAGAGACGGGGACUCACACUUGUUCUGAAUAGACACCCAGGGAGCAACGAGUCUUGACAAGUAAGCGAUUUGGAAUUGAACAUUAAGUUUAAAAUGACUGUGGAUGUGGCAAGAGCAAGAAUCCAGAAAUGAGUCACACUCAUUACUGGAAUGGAAAAACGUCCUUCGCAAGGAGGGAGAGGGACAAGGAGGACGGCAGCGUUAGCCACCUCCAGGACAGAAUUGUAGGAAACGAGUCAAAGUCGCGGCCAGCAUGGGCGCAGGUGGACUGGGGGAGGGGCGAUCGCAGAGGCUGCCUUUCGGAGAGCCUCCAGGCCAGGCAUCUGUCCCUGGAGAAGCAGUUUGAGGCCCUUGAGCAGAGCUCAUUUUGCCCUAUUGUGUCCGAGUGUGUUCCAGAGAAAUCUGUUUCCUGACUGAAGGCUGCUAAAUCAGGGCUGGCUGUAGAUGGUGCCACUCGGAGCAGCUGCAAACAACAACGGAUUAAAGACCGGAGGAAGAGCUGGGGCCAGGCUCAGAUACUGCAAACAGGUUCCCUCCACCGCACUAUCCACGCAACAGUCAAGAUGAUACCCCCGCCCCCAGGGCGUUACUGUAAACUCUUCCAAACUGCGGGAAAGUUGAGAGAAUUUCACAGUGGAUACUCAUCUCCAGUGUGAUUUUAUACGCUCUGUUUUCCUCUUUAAGAGGGAGGGCGUUCAUUUGAGCCAACCAUCCAUCUCCUUCUUGAGGGAUCUGUCCCACGGGCACCUGGAAGCAGGAACUGAGGAACUUCCAAGCCAUUCAAGCACAUCCUCAGCCAGAUUCCAAUAUUUGUCACUUUUUUUUAAAACAAAAAAAUGCCAGAAUGAUCCUUUAAAAACAUAAAGAUGGUUGCCAGACACUCGCAUUUAAAAUCUGUGUAUCCAUUAGGGGCCUCUCAGACUCUUCCUGCCACUCCAUGUGACCCAGUCCUGUCAAAUUUGCCAGCCGCCUCCAGCCUCCAUGUGUUAGAGCUAAUGGGUGAGGCCUGAAUGCUCACUUGGCCUUUCAGAAGCUGUUGACUAAGCCAAGAAGUUAUCCAGCAAAAAUUCUCAGAAAGUCACAUCUUUGCAUUUGGCAAUGUGCUUUCCCGUCUGUCCCUGCCCUCUCUGCAUCCCUGGAAGGAGCUCCUCAGGCUCAUCUCCCUGACAGCUCAUCAAAUGCAAUUUGUGUCUCCUUCAUGAUUUUAAUUUCAAAGAAUGAAAUUUAUAUCCCAUGGAUAAGAAGGAGUAAGUAUACAAACUUCCAGAUUUGUCUUAUUCCUUACGUCUCUGCUAUACACUGAAAAUGACUGGGAGAUUUCACAACGUAUUUUGCAGUUUAAAGGAAUAAAAUGGUAAAGAACAAUUGCUAACUUUGUACUCGUUUGUUUGUUUGCUUGUUUGUUUGUUGUGCCUAUGCACAUGUGCUGCUGCCUGAGUGUGGGGCCAGAGAGCAACCUGCCGAGAGCUGGCUCUUGCUUUCUGUCAUGGAUUAGACUCAGCUCAUCAGGGAAGCAGAGCUGAUGGCUGGCCGGAGAUGAACUCCCUCAGAGAUGAUGUCAGAGGAAACAGUGAUGACCACUCAAAGGUCUGCAUCUCUUUCCCAGGAAGGGGUCAGUGUCUUUCCAGAUGUGCACCUGGUAACUGAAAAUAUUUUGUGGUUAUUUUUAUUUGGAGAUUAAAUGUGGCUUAAGGAAAAGUAUGCUCUGAUGAUUUACGAUUCUAUUUGUCUAGAGUUUUGCUCCAUUUUAAAAUAAAACAGUAUCGUAGAGCUACAGUGAGACAUUUUGCGUGUUGUUAAAUCAUGAACAAUGGAACGAUGAUUUGGUAAAAUUCAUGUUCUCCAAAUUUUGCAUUAAGUGAGGCAGGGCAAAGUGCAUUAAAAUCUCCCUUAGCAUUGAAAACUUAUGAGUAUUCUUUUAUUUUGAGAUAACUACAUCAUUCUCAUCUUCUUACUUCCUCCAA